ensembl:lncRNA
UAGAAAAUGGCUGUUUUGGGUUUAGCUCCUGGCUGUCUGCGCUGCUGAGCCUGGUCUGAACCCAGCUGGCAGCUAUGGGGCUAAGGAGCUAUGGGGCUGAGGAGGGAGCAGAGGGUCACUGCAGGGAUUUGGGGAUGAAGAGGUUCAGGGUGAGGUUUUUUUUCCCAUCUCCAUGCUCUGGAUCUGUGGGGCUGCCAUGGGAUUUGCACCAGAAUGGGACAGUGCAGCAGUGGGGCUCUAUGCUGGAGCACCCGGAGGGGCUGGUGUUGGGCUCAGGCACCUCAGGGUCCUGGUGAUGGGUGCUCAGGUACCCAAGGGUCCCAGUGAUGGAGACUUGGGCAUCUCAAGGUCCUGGUAAUUGAGGCUUAGGAAACUCAGUGUCCUGGUGAUAGAGGCUCAGAUGCCUCAAGGCCAUGGUGAUGGAGGCUCAGGUACCAAAGAGACCUAGUAAUGGAGGUUCAGAAACUUCAGGAUCCCAGUGGCUGAGGCUCAGGCACCCAGGGAUCCUGUGGUUGAGGUUCAAGAACCUCAGGGAUCUGCUGAUAGAAGCUCAGGUAUCUCUGGAUCCUGGCGAUAGAGGCUUGGGAACCUCAGGGCUACGGUUGUGGAGGCUCAGGCUCUGAAAGAUCCCAGUGAUGGAGGCUUAGGCUUUUCAGGGUCAUGGUGAUGAAUGCUCAAAUACUCAAGGGUCCCUGUGAUGAAGACUCAGGAUCCCAGGGAUCCCGUAGUUGAAGCUCAGGAGUCUCGAGGUCCCAGUGAUGGAGUCUCAGGUACCCAAGGGUGCCAAAGGUGGAGGCUCAGGAACCUCAGGGUCCUGGUGAUAGAGGUUCAGCACAGCAGGACCUGGUGGGAGAUGAGACACAGGAGCUGCUGUGAACACGGAACCUAUGGAGGCUAUUUCAGUCCCCAUUAAGGCCAUUAAACACAGAACCCACUUGGAGCAAUUCACGCGCCUGUCUGAACACCAUGAAAUCCUCAUUCCUAUCCCAGUGGUUGCCAGGAUCCUCGUGGUUUGCAGCUCCACUCCUGGUUUAUGGGAGCUAUUAAUAUCUCCCCAGCAUUUAAGGGCGCAGGUAGAGAUCUCUACCUUUGUGCUUGGCAGUCUGCACUCUUCCUUGAAGAAUUAAGGGAAUGAAGGUAAAGAUGAGAUCCUGAUAUUUUUUGUUGUAUUAUUUAUUUGUUUAUUUAUUUAUUCCUUCCUUCCUUCCUUAUCCAUGAAUCAACUUCUGUUUUCAGCCCUUCUCUGGAGCAGAAUGAGCUUUUGUUUAAAGCGAUGAGCUGCAGAGAUGUUGGCUUCUUGUGUUUAUGUUUUCCAUUUCCAGGCAAAGCCCAUCUCGGAGCCCCUUGAGCGCAGGUCUGGGAACUGAACAUCCCAACCACAGCGAACAGAGGAUCAGAAUAGAAGAUUGCUUUUACACAGGGGAUUUUGCAGCAUGAGCUUGGCUUCUGAUGUCCAUCCAAAGCACGCAGGCAGAGAAGGAAUGCUCUGUUUUCAGUCUGCAAUGGAGUCACUGUUUUAAUUUUAGCUCCUCCAGAGCAAAGAUGUAACCAAGCUGUUACCAAAGCAAAGCACCUUAUGGGGGCUGGAAGAGGCAGAAGGACUGAACCUCCCCAUCCAGCAGUGUGUGGGUACCAGGACUCGAGGCACCCCAAAAACUGGCGAAGCUGAGCACUCAAAAUCUGUGCUUCCUUCUUAAAAAAAACCCCAAAAGAUUCAUCCCUGCUCACGGAUGUCCUUUCCCAGAGGCAGAGCUGUGCACAGAGAUCCCAAUCUCCCAAGCAGGGAGGGCAGCCAGCACAGAACAAACCCAAAACCACUUAAUGGAUGCCACUUUCCCUUUGUAAGACUGGCGCUGUUCAGUCAAUAAGUCACAGAUUUCUGUUUAUUGGGUAUGGUUUGCUGCUCCUCUCUUUGGCCAUAUUGUGAAAUUCCUGAGCCUCAUUGCACUGAAAGGUUUUGCAAAUGUUUUUAGCCAUGAGCCUUUGAGCUUGCAGGUCGCGCAAUGGAAAUGUUGCAAUGGAUCUUUGCAGGUGGUGUUGCAAUGGUGUUAGCCUGGGACCAAGAAAUGUGGAGCAGACAGCAAAGGUGGCAUGAUCCAAAGCGUCUGCAAAGGGGACGGUGGGGACAAGAAGACAUCAUAUGGCCUUGUGUGGCCGUAGCCAGAAGAUGGAAUGGGGCUAUUCAGUCCCUGCCCAAACCACCCCUAUUUCAGCAGAUGUGGGAGGCAUCGUGCUCACGGGCCCUCGUCCUGGUGGGGGACUUCAACCAUCCAGACAUCUGUUGGAAAG